rnacentral:snRNA from 1 species
AGAGCUCAGAAUGGGGCA